rnacentral:rRNA from 1 species
UACGGAGGGUGCAAGCGUUAUCCGGAUUCACUGGGUUUAAAGGGUGCGUAGGUGGGAAUGUAAGUCAGUGGUGAAAUCUCCGUGCUUAACAUGGAAACUGCCAUUGAUACUACCAGUCUUGAAUACAGUGGAGGUAGGCGGAAUGCGUCAUGUAGCGGUGAAAUGCUUAGAUAUGACGCAGAACACCAAUUGCGAAGGCAGCUUGCUACACUGUUAUUGACACUGAGGCACGAAAGCGUGGGGAUCAAACAGG